ensembl:misc_RNA Metazoa_SRP Metazoan signal recognition particle RNA
GCCAGGCAUGGUGGUGCAUGCCUGUAAUCCCAGCUACUUGGGAGGCUGAGGUGGGAGAAUCACUUGAACCCGGAAGGUGGAGGUUGCAGUGAGCCGCGAUCGUGCCACUGCACUCCAACCUGGGCUAUAGAGUGAGACUCCGUCUCAA